CCGCUGCGCUAACUGCGUCGCGGAAGCCCGCGCGCCAGUCACCGCUCUACGCCAACAGCGCACAAGGCCCACUCAGGCCCCUGCGCAGCCGCACCCCGUCGGCCUAUGGGUGCUACGUUCUGGGCGUACACGCGACACCCAGCCAUUCACUUGGAAUAACGCAACUUGCGCAGGGGUCCUGCGCCACUCGCGGGCUGCACCGGGGCAGUAGGAGCAAUAGGAAAUGCGAGUCUACGCAAAGUGCGGAGCUCCGUGGCUCCACGUUAGUUUUGUUCCAAGAAAGGACGCCGCGGGGGAGUUGGGGCGGCUUUUAACGCAUGCGUGGAGCAUCCUCUCCCACUCACUUUUGCUCUCGGCUGGCCUCGUCGGUUGCUGCGGCCCUGGGGAGGUGGGGGAGUCCCGGAAGGUCUAAACGCAGAGGCUCUCGAUUAUUCAAUUUGAGUGUUUAUCUGCACAGGCGCUAAACAUCUAACUUAAUUUACCUCCCCCCCCCACCCCUUGCCUUUGUUAAAGUAACCUUCACGUCUCUUAGGGUAAGAAGGAGCUAAUACUGAGGGCUAAGCACAAUGUAAUUUUGCAUAGUUCUUUCCCCCACCCACCCCCGGUUUACUCUGAAGAACAUUUCCUGUGGGCCUCAAUGUCUACUAGAAAAAGAUGUGUCCUGAGAAGAGGUCACGCACUCAGAGCAAUUCUCCGGGCUUUUGGCAGCUUUCUGUGAUUUUCCAUGACCUCCUGCUUAAUCCGCCGAUUAUUCCUUAACGCUCAAAGAGAUUCAAUUCAGCCUGGGGUUUGAAAGCCCAGUUCUAAACCUGAAGCCAGAGGAAUAAAAAAGAAUUCCACAUUUAAACUUCAUGCCUGGGCCUUGAAACCAAGAGGACUUUGACCCUGAGGAUAGUUAUAGUUACUACCAUUUUGUUAUUUAUACUGCUUUAAGAGUAUAUUUUUUCAGGUCUCUUCCGAAGCAGUUUUAAGAGGGGAGAAAACAUGAUUUUCUGGAUUCCUAAGAAUAGUGUAGAUGAAGGAAACCUAGACAAAUUGCCAACUUCUCAAUCGUGUGUCUAGCCAACCUAUGCACUCACAGAAUACUAAACUGAAAAAACAAACAGUAGUCUUGGCAAGCAGACACUUGAUGCCAACAGGCAGCCAUUUUGGGUCUUUUGAAACUCUACAGGCACAGCAAAAAUCAACUUUCCAAACUUAACUCCUAGCCUAAGGAAUUUUAACAAGGAACAAAUGUCCACAUGAAUAUGCAGACUUGAAGGGUAUUUGUAGAAGGAUGGUUAUACUUCAAUUUCAGGAAAAUUAUCAACAUGAAAAUGAAUUAGUAACAAGUUACUGUAGGGUAAAGAAAAUGUCAGGCUUUUCUGCCCUUCCG